CAUGCAGUCGCACGAGAAAGGGGAGCAAUCCCUGAGUAAAGUGGCGUACGGGUGAGUAACACGUGGAUGAUCUACCUCAUAGUGGGGAAUACCUCUUGGAAACGGGAGACAAUACCGCAUAAGCUGCCCUUUAGGAAAGGGACAGGAAAGCAGAAAUGCGCUGUGAGAGGAGUCCGCGGCUGAUUAUGCUAGUUGGCGGGGUAAUGGCCCACCAAGGCGAAGAUCGGUAGCCGGCCUGAGAGGGCUCACGGCCACACUGGCACUGAAACACGGGCCAGACUCCUACGGGAGGCAGCAGUGGGGAAUCUUGCACAAUGGACGAAAGUCUGAUGCAGCGACGCCGCGUGAGCGAUGAAGCCCCUCGGGGUGUAAAGCUCUUUCGACGGGAACGAUAAUGACGGUACCCGAAGAAGAAGCUGCGGCUAACUACGUGCCAGCAGCCGCGGUAAUACGUAGGCAGCAAGCGUUGUUCGGAAUUACUGGGCGUAAAGAGUGUGUAGGCGGUGCUCUAAGUCUGUUGUGAAAUCUCCCGGCUUAACUGGGAGGGUGCGGCGGAAACUGGAGUGCUUGAGGGUGGGAGAGGUAAGCGGAAUUCCUGGUGUAGCGGUGAAAUGCGUAGAUAUCAGGAGGAACACCUGUGGUGUAGACAGCUUACUGGACCACUUCUGACGCUGAGACACGAAAGCGUGGGUAGCAAACAGGAUUAGAUACCCUGGUAGUCCACGCCCUAAACGAUGCAUACUUGGUGUGAGCGAUUCAUUUCGUUCGUGCCGGAGCUAACGCGUUAAGUAUGCCGCCUG
rnacentral:rRNA from 1 species